AACGAACGCUGGCGGCAUGCCUAACACAUGCAAGUCGAACGAGCCCUUCGGGUCUAUUGGCGCACGGGUGUGUAACGCGUGGGAACCUUCCCUUAGGUUCGGAAUAACUCCCCGAAAGGGGUGCUAAUACCGGAUCAUGUCUUCGGACCAAAGAUUUAUCGCCUUUGGAUGGGCCCGCGUUGGAUUAGCUAGUUGGUAGGGUAAAAGCCUACCACGGCGACGAUCCAUAGCUGGUCUGAGAGGCUGCUCAGCGACACUGAGACUGAGACACGGCCCAGACUCCUCCGCGAGGGAGGAGUGGGGAAUAGUGGACAAUGGGCGAAAGGCUGAUCCAGCACUGCCGCGUGAGUGAUGAAGGCCUGAGGGUUGUAAAGCUCUUUUACCCGGGAUGAUAAUGACAGUACCGGGAGAAUAAGCUCCGGAUAAAUCCGUG
rnacentral:rRNA from 1 species